CGAUGGCCCUUUAGGAGCCUAUCCUGCUCUCCUGUAGCUGGUGUGGUCAAAAAGGAGCCGAAAGUGAUCCUUUUGCCGACGGUCGCUGUUCAGUUCUCUGGUAGCUGUGUCAGCAACAUUAAGGAAAAGGACAUGC